CUGCGAAUACCGGAGAAUGUUAUCACGGGAGACACACGGCGGGUGCUAACGUCCGUCGUGAAGAGGGAAACAACCCAGACCGCCAGCUAAGGUCCCAAAGUCAUGGUUAAGUGGGAAACGAUGUGGGAAGGCCCAGACAGCCAGGAUGUUGGCUUAGAAGCAGCCAUCAUUUAAAGAAAGCGUAAUAGCUCACUGGUCGAGUCGGCCUGCGCGGAAGAUGUAACGGGGCUAAACCAUGCACCGAAGCUGCGGCAGCGACACUAUGUGUUGUUGGGUAGGGGAGCGUUCUGUAAGCCUGUGAAGGUGUGCUGUGAGGCAUGCUGGAGGUAUCAGAAGUGCGAAUGCUGACAUAAGUAACGAUAAAGCGGGUGAAAAGCCCGCUCGCCGGAAGACCAAGGGUUCCUGUCCAACGUUAAUCGGGGCAGGGUGAGUCGACCCCUAAGGCGAGGCCGAAAGGCGUAGUCGAUGGGAAACAGGUUAAUAUUCCUGUACUUGGUGUUACUGCGAAGGGGGGACGGAGAAGGCUAUGUUGGCCGGGCGACGGUUGUCCCGGUUUAAGCGUGUAGGCUGGUUUUCCAGGCAAAUCCGGAAAACCAAGGCUGAGGCGUGAUGACGAGGCACUACGGUGCUGAAGCGACAAAUGCCCUGCUUCCAGGAAAAGCCUCUAAGCAUCAGGUAACAUCAAAUCGUACCCCAAACCGACACAGGUGGUCAGGUAGAGAAUACCAAGGCGCUUGAGAGAACUCGGGUGAAGGAACUAGGCAAAAUGGUGCCGUAACUUCGGGAGAAGGCACGCUGAUAUGUAGGUGAAGCGACUUGCUCGUGGAGCUGAAAUCAGUCGAAGAUACCAGCUGGCUGCAACUGUUUAUUAAAAACACAGCACUGUGCAAACACGAAAGUGGACGUAUACGGUGUGACGCCUGCCCGGUGCCGGAAGGUUAAUUGAUGGGGUUAGCGGUAACGCGAAGCUCUUGAUCGAAGCCCCGGUAAACGGCGGCCGUAACUAUAACGGUCCUAAGGUAGCGAAAUUCCUUGUCGGGUAAGUUCCGACCUGCACGAAUGGCGUAAUGAUGGCCAGGCUGUCUCCACCCGAGACUCAGUGAAAUUGAACUCGCUGUGAAGAUGCAGUGUACCCGCGGCAAGACGGAAAGACCCCGUGAACCUUUACUAUAGCUUGACACUGAACAUUGAGCCUUGAUGUGUAGGAUAGGUGGGAGGCUUUGAAGUGUGGACGCCAGUCUGCAUGGAGCCGACCUUGAAAUACCACCCUUUAAUGUUUGAUGUUCUAACGUUGGCCCGUAAUCCGGGUUGCGGACAGUGUCUGGUGGGUAGUUUGACUGGGGCGGUCUCCUCCUAAAGAGUAACGGAGGAGCACGAAGGUUGGCUAAUCCUGGUCGGACAUCAGGAGGUUAGUGCAAUGGCAUAAGCCAGCUUGACUGCGAGCGUGACGGCGCGAGCAGGUGCGAAAGCAGGUCAUAGUGAUCCGGUGGUUCUGAAUGGAAGGGCCAUCGCUCAACGGAUAAAAGGUACUCCGGGGAUAACAGGCUGAUACCGCCCAAGAGUUCAUAUCGACGGCGGUGUUUGGCACCUCGAUGUCGGCUCAUCACAUCCUGGGGCUGAAGUAGGUCCCAAGGGUAUGGCUGUUCGCCAUUUAAAGUGGUACGCGAGCUGGGUUUAGAACGUCGUGAGACAGUUCGGUCCCUAUCUGCCGUGGGCGCUGGAGAACUGAGGGGGGCUGCUCCUAGUACGAGAGGACCGGAGUGGACGCAUCACUGGUGUUCGGGUUGUCAUGCCAAUGGCACUGCCCGGUAGCUAAAUGCGGAAGAGAUAAGUGCUGAAAGCAUCUAAGCACGAAACUUGCCCCGAGAUGAGUUCUCCCUGAGACUUAGAGUCUCCUGAAGGAACGUUGAAGACGACGACGUUGAUAGGCCGGGUGUGUAAGCGCAGCGAUGCGUUGAGCUAACCGGUACUAAUGAACCGUGAGGCUUAACCUU
rnacentral:rRNA from 1 species